rnacentral:rRNA from 1 species
UCCUAGCGGUCCAAGUCGCAUCCAUCUUUAUUGGGUCUAAAACAUCCGUAGCUUGCUUAGUAAGUUCCUUGUGAAAUCCUAUGUCUCAAGCAUAGGGCGGGCAAGGAGUACUGCUGAGCUAGGGACUGGAAGGCGUAGGAAGUACGUUUAAAGUAACGGUAAAAUGUGUUAAUCUUGGACGGACUCACAAUAGCGAAGGCAUCCUACGAGGACAGUUCUGGCAGUGAGGGAUGAAAGCCAGGGUCGCGAAACGGAUUAGAUACCCGUGUAGUCCUGGCAGUAAACUCUGCACACUAAACAUCAGUACCUCCUCGAGAGGUAUUGGUGCUGCAGCGAAGGCGAAGAGUGUGCUACCUGGGAAGUAUAGUCGCAAGGCCGAAACUUAAAGGAAUAGGCGGGGAGAUACUACAACGGGUGACGCGUGCGGUUCAAUUAGAUUCGACACCGUGAACCUCACCAGGACCGACAGCAGGAUGAAGGUCAGUCUGAAGGGCUUACCUGACACGCUGAGAGGAGUUGCAUGGCCAACGUCAGCCUGUGCCGUGAGGUGACCUGUUAAAUCAGGUAACAGGCAAGACCCCUGUGCAUAUUUGCUAAAGCACUAUAUGCAGAUUGCCUUGGUAACAAGGAUGAGAGUGGGGGCUACGUUAGGUGAGUACAGCCCGACCGCCCUGGGCGACACGCGCGCGUCAAUGGUGGAUACAACGAGAUGCAACACCGAAAGGUGAAGCCAAUCUCUUAAAGUCCAUCUCAGUCCAGAUCGAGGUUUGAAACUCAGCCUCGUGACGCUGGAAUCCGUAGUAAUCGUUUGUUAGCAGCGAACGGUGAAUAAGUCACUGUCUCU